AUUGAACGCUGGCGGCAGGCUUAACACAUGCAAGUCGAGCGAGCGGCGGACGGGUGAGUAAUGUCUGGGAAACUGCCUGAUGGAGGGGGAUAACUACUGGAAACGGUAGCUAAUACCGCAUACCAUCAGAUGUGCCCAGAUGGGAUUAGCUAGUAGGUGGGGUAAUGGCUCACCUAGGCGACGAUCCCUAGCUGGUCUGAGAGGAUGACCAGCCACAAGGGAACUGAGAACUGGUCCAGACGCCGACGGCAGGCAGCAGGGGGAAAUAUUGGACAAUGGGCGCAAGCCUGAGGCAGCCAUGCCGCGAGUAUGAAGAAGGCUUCCUGGGUGUAAAGUACUUUCAGCGGGGAGGCGUUAAACGCAGAAGAAGCACCGGCUAACUCCGUGCCAGCUGCCGCGGUAAUAC
rnacentral:rRNA from 1 species